rnacentral:tRNA from 1 species
GGGAAGCUGGCUCAUUGGUAGAGCAUUUGCCUUGCAUGCAUGAGGCCCUGGGUUCGAUUCCCCAGCACCACA